rnacentral:rRNA from 1 species
GACGAACGCUGGCGGCGUGCUUAACACAUGCAAGUCGAGCGGUAAGGCUCCUUCGGGAGUACACGAGCGGCGAACGGGUGAGUAACACGUGAGUAAUCUGCCCUUCACUUCGGGAUAACCACCGGAAACGGUGGCUAAUACCGAAUACGACCAGUCUUCGCAUGAGGUGCUGGUGGAAAGUCUUUUCGGUGAAGGAUGUGCUCGCGGCCUUUCAGCUUGUUGGUGGGGUAAUGGCCUACCAAGGCUUCGACGGGUAGCCGGCCUGAGAGGGUGACCGGCCACACUGGGACUGAGACACGGCCCAGACUCCUACGGGAGGCAGCAGUGGGGAAUAUUGGACAAUGGGCGAAAGCCUGAUCCAGCAACGCCGCGUGAGGGAUGACGGCCUUCGGGUUGUAAACCUCUUUCAGUACCGACGAAGCGCCCUGUCGGGUGGUGACGGUAGGUACAGAAGAAGGACCGGCCAACUACGUG